UCCGGAUUGAUGUAGGUGGUUAACAUACUUGCCUUUCACGCAGGAUCCCGGGGUUCGAGUCCCCGAUCCGGAA
rnacentral:tRNA from 1 species